UAAGUUAUUGGUCAUAUAAACGCUUGAACUCUAUUCCUAGAUAAAGUAAUUUCAUUUGAAUCUUAACUGUACCUAUGUAUAAUCGUUGCUACUGAUGAUGAACGUUCUGUCAACAACUGAAUGCAUGAAACUAUGUGACGUCGUCUUUGAAAACCGGUCCAGAUGCGACAUGACAUAUUAUCGAGAAACGACGUUUAAAGUUGCGCCAAGUUAACGCGAGCAGCUUUCUUACACAUGUUUUAAUUAGCAAAGUUUGACCGUUAAAAUACGACUGCUUGUUACAUGAUUGAUAACAGCCUACUAGAGAAAGAAUAUUUAGACAUCAGACAUGUAAAAAAAGUGGUAUUAUGCAUGAGGCAAAAUAUUUUGUUCAAAAUUGGUUGUUUCCCCUUCGCUAUGUUUCUGGUUUCGGAUUUUAUCAGGGAGGCAUGUGAAGUUUACUUUAAUUUGUUGAGCUACCUUUUUUCAACCAAAACGGGAUCUGAGACUUGUAAUACUGUUUACUGAUUUUAUAAUAUUCCUUGUUCCUUUGAUGGUUCAUUCCACUACAGCUGGUUGAUAUACCCUACUACAGCCAGGAAAUUGGUCCUGUUUACUUUAAGAUCUCAAGAAAAUGUAACAUAUUUUAGAUGUGCUGUGAGGGAUCAGGAAGGCAAGUGUGUUUGAUCUUGUUUAUGAAAGCGACUCAGUUGGUAAUAGGACAGACAACUUUUGAGCAUGGUACAUCACUGCCUGUAUUAGUAUUAUAUUUUGACAAUGCUGCUGGCCAGAAUAGAAAUAACAUCUUGCUGUGGUAUGGUGUGGAGAGUUUCACUGGGUAACAACCAUCUUUGAUAGCUGUUAAAACAAUGUAUACUUUUUACCCUUAGGCUGCAUGAGGCAGAUAUGUCUGCCUUUGCAAUUAGUGCAGAUCAAGAUUAACCUGCACAUCUGUGCAGUCUGAACAUGAUCUGCACUGUUUGAUAUUCAGUAAGUAAAUUUUCUAUGAGAACCCCCUAUAAGCUAUAAAUGGUACUGUCUCAAUUGAAAGAUGGAGUAGUCCAUUUUACAAAUUUAGCAGGUUAAGGGUUAACAUAAUAAAGCAAAAAUGUGUUUUAUUAAAUUUACAGGAAAAAACAAGCGACUCCCAGGUUAAUUAUUUAAAAUAAAAUGUUUUACUUAUUUGUUACAAGGUAUCACAGACCAAUUGAAUAUUCAACAAUGAUCGCGGGCCAUGCAGUUUGAAUCUGACUGGCACUUUUGAAUUUAGAAAAAUCUAUGGAAGAGGGUGAAUGCUAAGACCUUUAAUACAUGAUAUUGCAGACACAGUGUAUCAGUCAUCAAAGAAAGAUCAUAACAUUGCACAGUUGGUCAACAAUGAUUUAAAUCCUGUCACAUUCUACCAGUGCAGAAAUAUCUCACCACAAUAUUUUAAACUUUUGAAGAACAUAACCAAGUAUUACUUUAUCAUGUCUGCAGAAACACCUGGAAUUGUUAGUGUUAAAAGUGACAGUCCAGUUAAGACAUUUAACUUACUAAAAUCUACACCCCCUAAAGGUGCAAUGCCAAACAAAUAUUAUUGACAUGGAAUGACACAAGCUGGACAAUGGUACCUGUACACAUCAGAGAAUACUAUUUGUCUGAAAAGCCAAAGGACUCAGUUUGUCCCAAACCACUUGUUCUGAAAAUUGAAAUUGUGAUUGACGAGGAUAUUUCUGAGAACUGGAAAAAGUGAAGUGAAUGUAAAAGAUAGAAAUUGUUGUUGAAUUGAAACGUUUUAAUACACACCACUUUAGCCUGUUUUGCUGUUCGUAUAGGUGUGUUUACCUGUUAAGGUUAAACAUCAAGUAAAGGUUGUAGUUUUAGUGACCUACAUAAAAGUAUUGGCUGGAAACAAAUAUUUACUUUUCACCAGAGCUUGUAGCAGUGUAACAUUCAUCAGAAGUUAAGCUGUUGUGGUAAUUAUCAAAGUAUUUUAGAAAAAGGAAUUUAGUAUGUAUGUUGCCAUGGUAACAUAAUUCAAAUUAUAUUUCAUUGAAAUUAUGGAUUUGUAUUUCAAUAAGGGAUCUACAGUAUAUAAUGUAAUGGUAAAAGAAUGUUCACUUUCUUCAGUACUAUCAGUUAUAACUGGCCAGUGAAAAAACAGAUUAUGAGGAAGGAAUGACUGAAAUAUUCGUUCUUGCGAUAACUACUUUUGUUACAAAACAUGACUAUUUUAAAGCUUUUAUGUGAAACUUUCAGAUUUCUUUUCUGAAUACUUAUACUUUCAUAUAUUUAACUUAAUAGAAAUGCUAUUUUAAAAUAAGCGCUUGUUUUUAAGUAUUAUUGUAGGAAAAAGGUAUUUAAUACAUAUGUUGCCAUGGUAACACGAUUUUCUUAGAAAAUAUGGAAACAUUUUUAAUUAGCUAUACUAUCUAGUAGUCUACUUUAAAAUAUGCAUAAACAAUAAAAAAUCAAUAGUAAUAUAUGUUUCAUUUAUUUCAAAAUAUUCAUUUAUUACCAGCAGGUAAAAGGCAAGUUAUGAAGAAACAAUGACAGAAAUGUCUUAUUCUUAUAAUUAUUACUCAUGUUACAAACACUAUCAUAAAACCAAGAAUUUAAUUGUUUUAAACAAGGAAAUUUUAAGCUUGUAUUUUCGAAUACAUACAAUUUAUAAUAUUCAACUUGUAUGAAACACUUUUCCAAAUUUAGCUCUUUUUUACAAGUAUUAUUGUAGAAAACAGAAUCAAAUGCAUAUGUUGCCAUG